GACAAACCCCUCCCGCAGCAGCAAUGGCGGCCGACCAAGUUCGGUGAUCAGCCACCGCAGCCCUCCCUAGGGUGGAGCCCCAACCUCAACCUUCCCUACCCGCUCCCGCCCACGCAGCCGACCGUGGUGUCGCUGCCAGCCCCACGCUCGGGAGGACCCGCGCUUCCACUACUACCGCACCAUCACCACGUUAGAUCUAAGGUGGCCUUCCGCUUCCCGAAUGACCAGGGCUUCGAGGGCGGUAUGAACGGUGGUGUAUUCGUAGAACAGGCUCACCACCCCAGUGCUAGCGCGGUACUCGGGGCACUCGAGAGGCACACGACACUGUUGCUCUACUCCAAUCGGCUCAUCGGCUCGCUCCCACCGUCGCUGGGCGGGCUGGUUGCUCUCCGGAUGCUCCACAUCAGCGACACCUCGGUAAUGUCGAGCCCUAGCCUUGUCGUGCUUAGCAGGCUCGCAAACCUCACCGUGUUCGAGCUCGCGGGAUCAAGAAGUGCUGUGUACGACCAAUUAUAUAAAAAGAAAUGCAGAGGCAGAAGACGAAAUAAGAAACCUUCCAAAAAGGAAAAUUUAAGCGAAAUAAUUCAGGUAAAUAAAGCUUAG
rnacentral:lncRNA from 1 species